rnacentral:piRNA from 1 species
UGGGAGCUUUCAGAUAACCCCUUGUUGCUAGG